GAUGAACGCUGGCGGCGUGCCUAAUACAUGCAAGUCGAGCGAACAGAUGAGGAGCUUGCUCCUCUGACGUUAGCGGCGGACGGGUGAGUAACACGUGGAUAACCUACCUAUAAGACUGGGAUAACUUCGGGAAACCGGAGCUAAUACCGGAUAAUAUAUUGAACCGCAUGGUUCAAUAGUGAAAGACGGUUUUGCUGUCACUUAUAGAUGGAUCCGCGCCGCAUUAGCUAGUUGGUAAGGUAACGGCUUACCAAGGCAACGAUGCGUAGCCGACCUGAGAGGGUGAUCGGCACACUGGAACUGAGACACGGUCCAGACUCCUACGGGAGGCAGCAGUAGGGAAUCUUCCGCAAUGGGCGAAAGCCUGACGGAGCAACGCCGCGUGAGUGAUGAAGGUCUUCGGAUCGUAAAACUCUGUUAUUGGGGAAGAACAAAUGUGUAAGUAACUAUGCACGUCUUGACGGUACCUAAUCAGAAAGCCACGGCUAACUACGUG
rnacentral:rRNA from 1 species